AUAUAUAUAUAUAUAUAUAUAUAUAUGUAUGGGUCUUACCGGAACUAGGGUGAAAGUUGGGUAUUUCAUAGUAGAAAAAAACAAAGUAAAGGUUAAAUAAUAGUAGAUUAAACUAGAUCUUUUAGUUGCAAAUAUAUUUUUUAUCAUGUUAUAGUAUUGCAGGGCAUGGUUGCAACUAUGAGCCUUGGGUAUACUGAUACCAUGGGGGACCGGCAGGAUCGACGGGGGGAGCCUCCUGGUUAGAGGAGGAACCGUAGUAUACCUAAUCCUAAUCUUAAGGUUUAUGUACUGGAACUUAUGAGUUGGAUCUUGCUCAUUCUAAGAUAACAGAGAGCGAGGCCUGCUAAGACACUACUAACAGAUUACAGAUUAACUAUGAACUAUAAACUAAACCUUUAAAGACUAAGGCCCAAGUUCAGGACUUUCACAGCCAUUAGUCUCCUGAGGUACAGUUAUAGUACACAGUUCAGUUAAUCUAGAUUAGCAUACACUAAACUAUCUAUAUCUAUUCUAGAUCUAUAUUAAGACUAACUAGCUAAAUCUAUUCUACCAGAACUUAUAUUAUAAUUCUAAUCUAUACUACUAUGGCCUUAUUUUAUCAGAACUAGGACCCUACUCUAUGAAGACUUAUCUAAUCUAUCUAUAUUAUCUAAUAAGUUACUUAUUCUAUGGUUAUCUAAUCCUAGUUGGGUUGCCUAAUCCUAGACUGUAGGUAUUAAGGGUGGGCUAUGGUCAUACUACUGGGUAGAUACUGGACUAUAGCUCUUCUAAAGAUAAAUCUAAAGAUAAACUCUAAGGUUGGACGAUACUAACACCUAAGGUUGGAUACUAUGGGUGAACCUAAGAUUGGUCUAUACUAUGGGUGAACCUAAGGUUGGUCUCUAAAUUUGGACACUAUGGGUGGAUGGACAACACUAAGGCUAGACACCUAGGGUUGGACACUAAGAUGGGACACCUGAUACUAUUGGUGAACACAGAGUGGAAGCUACUAGGUGGGCACUAUGGUGGAUGACAGAGUGGAUGCUACUAUGGAUGCUAUGGUGGGCACUAUGAGGUGAACACUGUAAGAUGAACACUAC
rnacentral:lncRNA from 1 species